CGGUGUGAGGAGCUCACACGUCUUGCAGAGUGAUGUCGGAAAGCGAUGCAAUGCGUCUGAGCUCCGUACACAGU
rfam:Ornithorhynchus anatinus chromosome X1, whole genome shotgun sequence.